UAUCUCCAACCUUUUAUUAUCCAUGUCUCUGUUCCUAGGUAUUUGUGUGGAUAAUUGAAAAACGACAACAUAACAGAUUUCUUUCCUUGGGUCUUCAUUUCUCUCAGGGCAGAAAAGCUGCAAUAAAACAGGCAUCCUCCAUGCCACAGAGGACAAUUGUGUCUAUCAGAUUGUGCUUUUCAAAAUGUGACUGCUGGCAACACAUUAGGACUUCGUACUGUAAGAAAAAAAUAUGCAUCCUCUACUGGGGUAAGAACUAGGGCACGAAAGGUGAAAGUAAAUAAUCUGCUAUCUAUUCCCCACCAAUACAGACAAGUUAGAAUUUAUGUCAGUGUUAUACUAAAUAUAAUAUUAGCUGAGAAAUUAUCAAAGCCAGGUGACAAAUACCCAGGUUUAUUUUUUCUAUUUUCUCUAGU
rnacentral:lncRNA from 1 species